GUUGGAACACCGGUCCUAGUACAAUCACCGAAGUUAAACAACGUCGAACCUGGUCAGUACUCAGACGGGUGACCGCUUGGGAAUACCAGGUGCUGUAA